GAACGCGUGAGGCCAAACGAGGAACAAUCCCCCGGGUUGUUGGCUGAGCCGACGGGCUCCCGUCGCCGGGUCUGUCGCCGCGUGAGCGAACGCGCGGAUUACCCCGUUAGGAGGAAAUGGGCGAUGAUGGGGCCAUAAACUCGCCCGCUGUGUAAUCACAAUUGAUUUGCAAUUGACCGAGCGCCGCUCCCGACCCCGGGUCGCACGGGACUGGGAAGCUCCCGGGGGCCGCGCUCGGACUGCGGCAUCGGCCCCGCUGUUACACGCGCCCUGCUGUUCCUGACCGAAACCAGAACUUUCCCAAAAGUAGCAGGUGGUUAUUCCAGCGCUAAUUUAGUUAAUACAGUUGUGAGAAGUGUUACGAGAUCGAACAAUGCCCGGUGAAGAACACGUCUGGCACAGGACUCAGUGACUGAUAGAGGUUUAAAAAGUCCCCAGUCCUGGAUGCGAUGCCCCAUUUUAAGAAGCGAUUCUUUUGCUGGUGGCUGCUUGAAGCGCACCUUAUUUAAAAAUCCCUACAGAAUGUAAAACUGAGUGAGUCUAGUCAGGGAAGCCGGGCGAGUCUGUAAAUUACCGCUCUGUCAGGAUUCCUCUUGCCUCUUACAAAGUACCUUUUUAUGCUGAACUUAAACUCUGCGCUGCAGAGACAGCAGAUGUGAGGCGAUGGCUUCCAAAAGCAACACAGAUGCUGUAAAAUUUCCAUUGCUAUAUUUCAGCGAGGAAGCUCAGGAGACAUGCUGAACGCUGCAGUUUAGAAUUACACUAUAACUCUCCUAGAAAUAAGAGAAUACCAAGUUUCUCAACAGUACAUUUGGCUCCAUUUUUGCUGUCAUUCAUAUGCUCUUGUUUUCUUACAGCGAGAAAAAGAGAGGCAGCACAAAGAUACUGUGUGUCUUGAAGCUGUUCAGUAAUGACAGAACUGGUAUAUAGAACAGCGCAGCUGUGAGGAGGCUGCUUUGCUUUAUGUGACUGAAAAGCAGCCUGGUUAGCUCAAGACUGUGGAAUCAGAGCCCAUUGUGUGUUCCUCAUACUUGGAGACUUCCCUGAAGUCCCUAGAAGUCCUGUGAUGAAGGAAUCAAGUCUUUAAAAUGGUUUGGCGCUGGCCCUUCUAACAUAGCUUAAUUCUUCUGUGCAUCUGAGGCUUUGCAUUUGGAUCCCACCAAACCAGGAAACACAACGUUCUUUGACAGAAUUCAGAGGACUGGAAGACUUUGUCUGAAAACUAAAACUCCUGGAUUUGGAAAAAUAUUGCUGCAGUCCUCCUCCGACGUUGCAACCUGGAUUCCUGCUGGCCCUGCUCUGCAAGGCUGAGGCUGCCUUCCACCUUUGACAUUUUGCCAUGAACUUUCCUCUUUGAAAGGAAUGCUGGAAAUGGGGAAUCCCUCAAAGUGAUCUGUCAUCAGGAUUCUCAUUUAAAUGAUACCUUUCUGAACCUCAUGGUGUGUUUGAUGUUCACUGGCAGAGGUCAUGUGAAGCUGCCUGUCCCUCUCCAGGAGCAGAAAGGAGAUCACAGUGGCUUCAGUCCUCAAACUGACUCCCAUGUAGUGUAAGCUGAGGCCUAACUCUGGACUUACUCUUUUCCUGUGGUUGCAUCCAUAGAAAAUUGGUCUGUGUUAAUGGCAGCAGAUUGUAUAUUUUCUUGUCCUUGGAUGGUUUGACAGCAGGUUGGGCCAAAUGCAUCUUUGCUUUUAUGACCAAGCUUACAGGAAGUGGUGGAGAUGUGAGUUUGGUUUGACUUCUGCACAAUUAUAUCUGACUUUCUUCUGCUUUUUGCUCUGAUUUCUGGUGGAGUAUUCUGGCCCCUGUGUUAUUUCCCCCCUGCCUGCCCAUGGUCUUCCUGAGACCUGCUGGCAAAGGGAGGUUUUCACAGCCUGAAGUGUUGAUUCUGAGAAGUGUGAAGGAAACAGAACCGUGCUGGAUGAUGUGACUCACCUUGGAGAAGUUGAUGUUUUCCGGCUGAGGGAAAGUGUAAAGUUUCAGCUUUGCUAGUCCAGAUGUUUUAAUGGAUUUUGCUGCAGUAAGAGAAACCCUGGUCUGCAUGUUUUAUUCAGUCCUGAAUAGGAGAAUAACAGGUUACAUACUAACAUAAAUGUUUAAUGAUUUAUGAUUAAAAGAAUUAAAUUAGAUAGUGAGCAAAAUACUAGGUUAAUUGACUACGGAGUCCUAAGUUCCCCAAAACGUGGCAUUCCAGCCAAAUAUGGCUGAAAUAUCAGCUGUCAUAUGAUGAAUAUUUUAAAGAAGAUUCUAUUAUACACCUAGGGGUUCAUUCGCUUCAGUAAUGAGGACAGUUACCUCUAGGGAAAGGAAGCUAUAUUAUGCUUGCCACUUAACCAGGGGCUGGUUUGACAGGCAUCAGCUCAGAAUAUAUGUGUAUAUAUAAGGAAUCACAGCAGCUUGUCUCAAGUUUACUGAGCAGGAAAUAUUGUGCUAUACAAUACUUUGGGUUUCUAUCUAUGGAUUUGUGGAUGGCACUGAGUGGGAUUCAGACUAUUUUUAUUCCUGAGUCUGAUUGUUGAGGUGGAAUCCAUCACCUACUAAAUAUUAAAUCAGCAGGUUUUUUAAAGAGAAACACUGUCUCUGCUGACUUGAAUAUCCUUAUGUGGCCCAGAGGAAAAGAGAAACAAAGACAAGAUGAGAAAAGUAUCGUCUUUGGCAUUCUUCUUAAUAUUAAUGAUUUCUCUAGUUUUCAAACUGUUGAAGGCAAAAAGUGAGAUAGUAGAACUUUCACAUGGGUAAGAAAUGACCCAGGUGAAAAAAAAGCAUACAUUAUAAAAACUGCAGUGAAGCUUCUGGAGUUGAAUUAUUUGUUGGAAGAGAUGGUGAAAAGGUCUCAACAGAUUAUUUUUUAAGCAAGUUUUGUUUAAUUGUUUCCAAACUAACAUGGGUAGCAAUUACUAGGGUUGUGUCAAUUCCAAAUUACUUGAACAAUUUCAUGUAGAUGCGAUUUAUGUCAGAUUUUACUCUGGGUGUGGUUUCUGAAACCUAGUGUUUAUAAAUACUGAAGUUUUGAACGAACUACCCAACUUACGUGUUAUUGUUCAUCUUAGCAGACUGACUGGAAUUGUAAAUAGUUCCUUCAUGCUUUUCUUUUUAAAGUUGCACUUCAUAGACAAUAUCCAAAGACAACUGUGAGGUGUCUGAAUGAGUAGUUCUAGUGUACCCAUGGUUGCCUAUGUGAACAUUCAUCAUGCACCUCUGUACAAGUAAAAGGCCAUCUCUGUCACUCUUAAAGGAUGCUCUAAGACUUUUAAGGAUUCUUUAGGAUUUAAAAAAAAUUCCUUCUCUGAUAAUGAGCAGGUUGGUGAAAUAACAAAAGCAUGACAAAUGAUGCCUUUUUUUUUUUUGGUUUUACGUUUUGCAAAAUAGUCGCAUUUCAGUUCCAGAUAUCAAAAUGAAUAAUUGCUACACCAAUCUUCUAAAUGUGGUGAAGAUUCUUACAAAGUUUCUGCUUGGUGACUGCUAAGAUAGAAGCUCCCUUCUUAUUUCACUUUUUUAAGGCCUCAGAUGACAUAUCAAAAUGUCCUGGAUGCCCUGACAUAUUAACAGCACAUCCCAUACAAUCCUAUGGUAGGAGAAUUCCAGUCCUUUGCUUAAUUUUAUGUAAUUCUUCUUGUUUAGACAGAUAAAUUUUCUAGGUUUCAGAAUGCAAGUGAUUUAUUCUGAUGCUGUUUGUUAGAAAAACUGACCCUUCAAUGCAAAAAAAGGACAAAAUGAAAGUACUCAUUAAGAAGAUGCCUUUGCAUAUUUCACAUGCAUUUUUUAAGAUCAUGUUACAUAUUCGUCAGUUGUAGUCACAGAGUUGUUGCCAUAAAUGCUCUGUGUAUAUGUGGAUAUCUGAGCUGCUUUGUAGGAGUGGGGGAAGUGAGGAAAAAGGGAAAAAUUUAAUAUGAAAAUCAGGAGGGAAUAAGUGAGAUGAGGAGUUAGGAGGGACUCUGAGCUAUAUUGUUCCCAUUCUAUACAUCUGACUCUUAAGAGAUUGUAGGAUUUCCUUUCCUUCCUGAACUUGAUGCUCACUGGGUGUUUAGGUCAAAUUCUGGUGUUAUUUAAAACCCAACAGUUACUACUUUUCAAGUUGAGAUAAGGGUGGAAUAAUCUUUAAUUGUCCAGGGACCACAAACUUCUUUGUUAUCCUAUCAAUUCAUUCAUUGUCUACAUUGGCUUUAAUUGUGUG